UACAGAGGUCUCAAGCGUUGUUCGGAUUCAUUGGGCGUAAAGGGUGCGUAGGUGGCGGGGUAAGUCUGGUGUGAAAUCUCGGGGCUCAACCCCGAAACUGCACUGGAUACUGCCUUGCUUGAGUACUGGAGAGGAGAUUGGAAUUUACGGUGUAGCAGUGAAAUUCGUAGAUAUUCGCAAGAACACCAGUGGCGAAGGCGGCUCACUGGCCCAUAACUGACGCUGAGGCACGAAAGCGUGGGGAGCAAACAGG
rnacentral:rRNA from 1 species